AUGCGCACAAUAUAGCUGGGCACUAUUAUACCUAAAGGGUUACCAUUCUUUGCAGUCCUAUAGGAUAGCUCAUGUAUUAUGGAAUCAAGGGCGUAAGGUUCUGGCGUUGGCGCUGCAAAGCCGUAUCAGCGAGGUUUUUGCAGUGGAUAUACACCUAGGU